AUAUUCAUAGCUGUGCNGGGAGGAGGAAGAGAGGUGAUUGGAUUGGAGGAGGAGGAGAGACCAGUGUAUACCGCAGACAUCAUUUCUAGUACAGUGGCAGAGACGUCCAGGACCUGUUUCCCGGCAGGGGGAUAAAAAACAAGCCCUGUGGAUCAGCAACAGCAGCAGCAAGCAGCAACAGCCGCCGCAAGACAUUGUUUCUCUCCCUCUGCCCCCCUUCCCCAAGCAACCCCAGAUCCAUUUACACUUUACACUGCAUCUCAAGGCAAGCCAGCAGGGUGGUCCAUUCUGACUACGGAUUUAUUCAUGGUUUUUGCAUAGCAGCCCCUUCUCCCAUCAUCACAACUGGGAAGUGUACUAUAAAUCAGCAUCUUGGAACACAAUGAAAGAGUUUAUUCCCAGGCCUCAGAAGAAGUUUAGCUGUUGCCAGUGAGAAAGAGAGCCAGGGUGGACAGAGGGCUGCAUGAACGGUCUUGAAACAUACCUGAUUUUAGGUAAGUCAUCUGAAUCAAAGGACUUACUGCAUAAUAGCUUUUAAUUUCAUUAACUAUCUUUUUUUUAUUUUUUUUUGACUUUUUAAACAUUAUUUUAUUUGGUUAUUUACA
rnacentral:lncRNA from 1 species